CUCCGAUCAAUUUCUCCUUGCCCGAUUUCCGCCGCCUCGUCUCCAUGUGCCCGGAGCUUCUCACUAACCCUCUAACCUCCCACACAAUCCCCGUCAUCACUUUCCUCCUCCGUGAAGUCGGCGUCGACGGCGUCUUCGAUCUCCGCCAAGCUUUACGCCGUCGUCCUCGUCUUCUCGCUUGCAGCGUCGAUUGCCAGCUCCGGCCAACGCUCUACUUUCUCCAGAGAGUCGGAAUACUCGAUCCACACAAACACACUUACCUCCUCUCCUGCAGCGUCGAACAAAAACUCCUCCCACGAAUCGAUUACUUCCAGAAACUGGGUUUCUCUCGGCGGACCGCGACUUCGAUGUUCAGGAGAUUCCCG
rnacentral:lncRNA from 1 species